AGUGAACGCUGGCGGUAGGCCUAACACAUGCAAGUCGAACGGCAGCACAGGAGAGCUUGCUCUCUGGGUGGCGAGUGGCGGACGGGUGAGGAAUACAUCGGAAUCUACUCUGUCGUGGGGGACAACGUAGGGAAACUUACGCUAAUACCGCAUACGACCUACGGGUGAAAGCAGGGGACCUUCGGGCCUUGCGCGAUUGAAUGAGCCGAUGGCGGAUUAGCUAGUUGGCGGGGUAAAGGCCCACCAAGGCGACGAUGCGUAGCUGGUCUGAGAGGAUGAACAGCCACACUGGAAAUGAGACACGGUCCAGACUCCUACGGGAGGCAGCAGUGGGGAAUAUUGGACAAUGGGCGCAAGCCUGAUCCCGCCAUACCGCGUGGGUGAAGAAGGCCUUCGGGUUGUAAAGCCCUUUUGUUGGGAAAGAAAUCCAGCUGGCUAAUACCCGGUUGGGAUGACGGUACCCAAAGAAUAAGCACCGGCUAACUUCGUGCCAGCCGCCGCCGUAA
rnacentral:rRNA from 1 species